rnacentral:tRNA from 1 species
UGCGGAGUGGAGCAGUUGGUAGCUCGUCGGGCUCAUAACCCGAAGGUCGUAGGUUCAAGUCCUGCCUCCGCCACUA